GUCACUGUUCACCCCUGAGAGUUGGUAUCAAUUCUGCUGAAAAAGCAUGCUCUAAAGAGAAGUUUAUAUAUGAAACUCCAACUCUCAUAUUAGGCCCAAGCCCAAGAAAUUCUUUCUAUGGAUCCUUUAUAUUUGGGGCCACACCAAACUAGAUUCUCUAAAACCAUCAUGAUUAGGGCUGGUAUCUGAAAGUUGCAGCAGAACUGAAAGUUUAAAUCUCUUGGUUUUGUCUGUAUGUUUAUUUAACAGGGAAUUAUAAGAUGAAAUACCAUCAGGAUUGACCCUCACAGAAGAUUACUCAUGUCUUAUAUAUCCAUAACUAUACCCAUAACUGCACUAUCUACUCUUCUUUAUUCUCAACACAUGAAUGGGAUUUAGGAUUUUAUCAAGAGGUGAUGUCUUCAUUACUGCAACCAUUAAUUUGAAUUAUCUGAUGCAAAUUUAAAGUCGCAGGGAGCCUGCAUGUGUCAGUAUUGGUGAGUGUAUAUGUAGGAAGGUCUGAAGGGGUAUACAAUAUGGACAUGAUCUUUUAUUUUUUAAGUUUAGAAAAGAAAAAUGACUGUACUAAGAAUCUGAAAAUUAAGUGCCCACGUUGGAGCAGCUGUAAAAAAAUGGCCUAGAUAACUACUAGAGCCAUAAUACUUUGGCAUUUGACUGAGCUAUCCAUCCUCUAACCUU
rnacentral:lncRNA from 1 species